CUUAUAAAAGCAUAAAAUACAUAUAAACAAGUUAACUAUUUAAUAUUCUUACAAGCGUCUAACCAGGAGAUACCCUGAAACACUAUGGAACGGUUUGCCAGAUCGGGUCUGUGCCAUGAUCCAGUGGUAUUUGAUCGAGUAUUGCUCGGUCCCCCGACCACCAAUCAGGAUACUAUUUGGACAGUAAGGGCACUUGGUAAAGAGCUAUCCAGUUAUAUAUAAUGUGUUGGGUGCUUUCCUCCACAGAGUGCCAGGACCACGUUUUGUGAGACUGGGAGGGACAAACCAGCCGCAUACAUGGUACUCUGAGCCACAUCAGAG